UACGGAGGGGGCUAGCGUUAUUCGGAAUUACUGGGCGUAAAGCGCACGUAGGCGGAUUGGAAAGUUGGAGGUGAAAUCCCAGGGCUCAACCUUGGAACUGCCUUCAAAACUCCCAGUCUUAAGGUCGAGAGAGGUAAGUGGAAUUCCGAGUGUAGAGGUGAAAUUCGUAGAUAUUCGGAGGAACACCAGUGGCGAAGGCGGCUUACUGGCUCGAUACUGACGCUGAGGUGCGAAAGCGUGGGGAGCAAACAGG
rnacentral:rRNA from 1 species